UCAAAGAUCCUCGAUGGAAAAGUGCA
rnacentral:piRNA from 1 species